AAUGGCAGUGGAAAAUAACUCUUCGGUGACUGAAUUUAUCCUUGUGAGAUUAACAAACUCCCGCUGCCCCAGUGUUUUAUUCUUAAUGUGGUCCCUGUGGGGAGAAUUUGAACAUAAUUUUAUGUCCCUAAAUUCUCACCUUCAUACCCCCACACACUUUUUCCUCUUCACGCUAUCCUUCAUUGAUGUCUGCUAUUCAUUUGUCUGUACCACAAAAAUUCCAAUGGGCUUUAUCUCAGAGAGGAACAUCAUCUCCUUUGUGGGAUGGCCAACGUAGCUAUAUUUCUUUUGCAUCUUUGUCAAAGAACCUAAAAAUGGGGUCAUUGUGGGAAUAAUGUUCUCAGCCAAGAUGCUUGUAGCCGAGAGAUAAUGGACUAGUCGUUGAUGUGAAACUAGAAAAUGCACAUGGCCCUAGAAAGGUCUGAUUUUAGAAUGGGAUAAACAGGAUCUGCUACAAAGAAACAUUUAAUCAUAUUCUUGUAUUACAGCGAUUAUUUCCAGAGAUAGUGAGGCUGCAGAGCUUUGGGACAAGGUUCCUUAGCGAAGCAAGACACACUCUCUAGAAUUGCACAUGUACUUUAAAAAGUCUGUUACAUAUUAUAAUAUGUUUUUAUAUUUGGAAACAGAAAAAAAUAAGUUAUUUAUAUCACAAAUCAUAGAAAAUGGAUCUUUACAAAAUCUUCAUGUUUUGUGGGUUACUCACAAGAAAAAUUUUCUCCGUCCAUUUCUACUUCUCAAAUGGUUCAAGGAAAAAUGCUCCUUAAAGGAUAUAUCUGAUUCUGGAGAAUGAGCUUACCUAUGUGUGCAAUUUUUAUCUUUGUCAGAAGAUACUACUACCUUCUGAAAAAGUUGAAAACACUGCUUUAUAA
rnacentral:lncRNA from 1 species